GUCCCAAGGCAGGGAGGAGGGGGAAGGGGGACCACCCAGAAUCACUUGACUUUACACAAGUGGAACCAGCUCAACAGCAAAACGUGCACUUCAGAGGAGCUUCUAUCUGGAAAGAAUGACUUUGAACAUCUUCAGAUGACCUCAGAAAGCUGUCCUCCCUCAGUCCUCAUCCUGUGGGGUCUGUUACGAAUAUUGUCAGCCCACCUCUUUGCCCCAUGGCAUUAUUCUUCUACGCACAUCUGAAUGGUAACACUAAAACUAAAAAUUAAGAUAUCUAGCAGAGUCCAUAGGCUGUUCACCAGUGUGCUUCCCAGAUUGUCUAAUAAGCUCUCAGAAACCAGGGCAGGAUGAAAAGCAUUGAAGACACUGCUGAAACCCAAUUUCCUGAGGAGAUUUGCUGAGAUCUUGGCUGCAAAGGCUGGA